CGAUUACAAAAAAGGCCUUGGGUCCACGGGCCCAAAGUCAAUUUAUAUCUUAUUAACGUCACGUCCAUAGAAAUCUUAGCCGCGAAGGAAAAUAAAGAAACAUUACUCACCUGUAAACGCUAUGUAGAAAACUACCAAUAAUCUUUCUAUAUAUAUAGAGGGAGAGACGUAUCAAGUAUAAUUGUAAUUGUGAAUCAAUUUCCAAUUGGUUUCGUAUAAUAAUUCCAGUAUUCUGCCCUUUUUUGGGACAAAACACAGAUUGGAGUUGAUAUAAAAUGGUCUCCUCAGCAUAACUGUAGCACAAGAAAAGAGAAGACGUGGGCGGGUCUUUGGCCCAUUCAUGGUAACAUUCUUUUCUUCUUCAAUUAUCGAAGUGAAAAUACUGCAAUUCGCGAGAGAGAGAGAGAGAGAGAGAGAGUCAGCAAAAUCUUGAAAUCUUUUAUAUAGGUGGGUUUUAGUCUGUGAAGAUGAUGAUCAGUUAUCCAGGCCUUUCCAAGCUCAAAACCAAGCAGGUAUGUGUAGUUUCUUUACACCUUUAUAACGUAUAAUUUAUAUGUAUGUUUUCUCGUUGCUUUCCGUUUAGGAGAAAAUUUGAAUUGUUGGAGUGGGAAAUUUUGGUUUGUCUUCAGGAAUUUGUGCUUAAAUUUAGAUGUUCUAGAGGAAGUACAUAAGGGUUCACUUCAUCUUAUUUUAUGUAUGAUUGUUGAUUCGAAUUAGGAUUUAGAAUUGCAAUUUGUGAAUAUUCAGUUUAAUUUGGAUUAAUCGUUUAGUAACUCCGCCAAUUUGAGCAAUUCACGCAAUGAAAUAAUUGCAAUGACGUUUUUGUUUACGUUGUGCUGUCUGGCACUUCAAAGUUCUAAACUUCUGGUUUUUAUGAUAAAAUGUGUCUCAAAAUUAUACUGGUAAAAGGACUGUAUUUACUAUCUCUGUUACUUAAAAUGAUUAAUAAUACCAUAAUUCAAUCGAUAGGUUGUGUAU
rnacentral:lncRNA from 1 species